AUUAUAUAUUAUAAAUCAAGAUGAGACCAAGCCACACAGUUUGGCUCCAGAUCUGAACUUUCCCAAUAUCUAAGGGCUCUCUGGAUAUGAGCUUCAGUUCAUAGACUGCAUGAAGCCUGCAGCAUGUUUGAUCCAUUUCAACACAAAGAGUAAUAUUAUUCACUGUAAACUAAAAACUUCAGGUAAUAGACCUGUUAUUAGAAGUAAGGAAAGUGAAAGAAGGUAUGAGAAAUGAAAACUCCUUCACCUACAGUAAAGUGUCGUGUGUAUGUGUGUGCGUGUGUGUGUAAGUAAGUAAGUAAAAAUCUUCCUUACUUGAAAGCAGCAGGACUGUAGCACUCAUCUGGGCUCUGUUAGUCCCAAACUCUUUUUCACCAGGUUCCCCACUGUUGCAAAGAAGCAGACCUUUACAAUGUCAUGUCCCCUGGAAUUCUCUGUGCUGGCUGCCCAGCUGUCUCUCUGAAGUACCAGAGCAGUAGCAGCUUGAAAGAAGGAUAAAGAGCCAGCACCAUGAUCCCAGCCUGCUCUCCACAGAGCCACCAAGAAGUGCCCAAGAGUCUGGGAAUUGCUGGUAUAUCAGAAUUCUAAUGUUUUGGCUGCAGCUCAACAGGAAACUAAAUCUGUAGUCAUUGCAAUUUACAAGUAAGAAAAUAGGAGGAACAACUGUGCCGCUUCAAAAAACAAAAUAAAGCUCCAGUAGUACAGCUGACAAGGUCGCAUCUGUGUGGGAGGGGUUUUAACUCAUGUGGAAACGGUGCUCCCCUCGUGUUAUGUGAGAAGAGAAUUCAUAUCUGUCCUGGCUGUGGUAGCCACACAUGUUGC